GUAUGAGGCUGCACUCUUUCCAUGUCUAUUAAAGGCCAUGAUGACAGCUAAUAGUUGUCUCAUGAGAUAACAUUAACCCAUUGCAAGUGCUGUUUCUAUUACCUUCCAUUAUUCUUUGCCGUGUUCACUACAGGUUGUUGAAAACUUCUGGAGCACUGAACUGUCUUUUACUUUAUUUGUACACCCACAGAUAAAAAUCUUUAAAUGUAAAUUAUGUAAGUAAUAAUUGGGAAGGGGAGGAGUCCUGAUAUGCCCAUCUGAAAUGCAGGAAACACCUGUAUGUACCAACCUAUUUAGACUGAGCUGCUGCAUAUGUAAGAGCUUGAUAAACAUAUAGACAGACAGAAACCAAUACAUGGUGUUUGGGUACUUUUGUGUUUAGAGAACAGUAAUAAUUUUCAAUGGUAUAGAAUUGAACAACUUCACUGAAGUUUAUGAUACUGUAAGGGUCAAUUCAAAGACAGAAUUAAGCUUUAAAAUAUCAGUGAAAUGCUUAUGAGUGUUCUAGGUGACAGAGUGAUGAACUAGUUCUGCUCAAAAGUCACUGGAGGAAUUUGCUUCUCAUGGUGAGAGCUCAUGUUUACAAACAUCCAAAAUACCCUUUUUUGUUUUCUUAGCAUUCAUUAGCCAAGUGUUUGAAAAUAGACAACUGCUGGAUUGGGUUGCACAAGAAAGGUGAAACCUUCUACUGGGAGAAUGGCGCUGCCUUGAAGAAGGCCUUGUUCCAGAUACAGAAUCACUCUGAAUGUGUCUACUUGGAUGGUUUCACUAUUUCUGCAUCAGCAUGCUCUUUGCCAAGGUUCUCAAUCUGUCUGAAACUUCAUAUUAACAGUUAAACACCUAUUGUGCAGUGGGCCUGCUGUCUCAGACCAUCUGGAAGCCUAAACAGGACAGAGGAGGAUUUGUGUCAGCUGCCAAAAUGUGCUUCUAGGUCUUUGCUGCUUUGGAUUUGAGGAUCCGAACCUGACUCCCUUCUGAUCACUACAUUCAUGAAGAGUGAACUUGGAUAAAACUGGAGAAGUGCAGUGGUGGUGCAGUCAGAUCAGCAUGCAGCAAUCCAGCACCACAUGCCAUCUUUCCUGCCCUGAGACUGUUGUAACAGAUAGAGCCCAGAGUCAUGAACUAAAAUGACUAAGGGAAUAACCACAGAAUCAUAGAAUCAGCAAGAUUGGGAAAGACCUUUAAGAUCAUCAAGUCCAACUAUUACCCCAGGACUGCGAAGUCCACCACUGAACCGUAUCACUGAGGGGCCUCAUCUACAUGCUGUGUAGAUAUACCUAUGUGUAUACCUGUUAAAAGACAGGAAAGGC